AAUCAACGCUGGCGGCGUGCCUAACACAUGCAAGUCGAACGCGAAAGGGGGCUUCGGCUCCUAAGUAGAGUGGCGUCCGGGUGAGUAACACGUAGGUAAUCUGCCUUCGGGUGGGGAAGUAACCAGUCGAAGAUUGGCUAUACCGCAUAAUGCAGCGGCACCUAAUGGUGAUUAGUUGUUAAAGCGGGGGAGUCGUAAGACCUCGCGCCUGAAGAGGAGCCUGCGGCAGAUAGCUAGUUGGUGAGGUAAUGGCUCACCGAGGCUUCGAUCUGUAGCUGGUCUGAGAGGACGGCCAGCCACACUGGCACUGACACACGGGCCAGACUCCUACGGGAGGCAGCAGUGGGGAAUUUUGGGCAAUGGGCGAAAGCCUGACCCAGCAACGCGCGUGAGGGAGGAAAU
rnacentral:rRNA from 1 species